UUUGUUCGAUAUUCAGUCUGCGGUCCCUGAUUCAUCUUAUCCAAAACUCCUCCCUUUCCAGCGACGGCAGCGACGGCGGAGCACGAGCAGGUGAGGGGCGGCGCCUUCGUCGGACGGCUACAGCCGCGGCGGAGGAGAAGGCGGACGCCAUGGGUGCGGCUACGGACGAGGCGGAGGAGAAGGCGGACGCCGUGGGCUUGCUGCGCGGCCACAUCCGAUCCGAGGCGUAGGAGAAGGCGGACGCCGUGGGCCUGCUGCGCUCAUGGGCGUUCAUGGAGGAUGGUACACCGGCCACCGGCGCCGGCCGUGCCGCCGCCAGUUCUCUCUGUUCUCCUCCGUGGUAUCCUUCUCAACCUCCGCUGCUCCUGUCGUGAUUUGGAUGGAAAAUUGGAGGCCGGCCCUGUCCUUCUCCAACACAAAUUGAUGUAGUGCCCGACCCGGAUUUGAUUGGCUGCUAUAAGAAGCAAGGGUCCUCGGCCGGAAUAUCCAUCAGGUUUUGCCCUUCGACCAUAAUCUCCAUCAUCCCGUCGAAAUUGCAAUUUUUGACCCAACAUCCAAUGUCGCCGCCAAGUUCGCCGGAGGAAGAAGCGGCGAGUUCGCCGGAGGAGCAAGAACGCCCGUCGAGCUGUGCAAUGUCUCCUGUGGUGGCUACACGAUAGGCCCUUAAGAUGAGUGAUGAACAUCCGUUGAGCCGUCCAAUGUUGCCUGUGGCAACUACACCGGAGCUGUCGUCUCCUUUGACUUCACCGCUAUCGUCUCCGUCGACUUCGCCGCAAGACAAUCUGCCACCGCCUCCGCCGAUUUUGCCGGAAGACCAUCAGCCGUCGCCUAGACCUACUUUGAGAAAAUAGAUGACAGCACUGUAACUUAAUAUUACAUAGAACAUUGAAGAGGACUUUGAUAACCGACCUUCAAAAAAAGCAAAAAUUUCUGAAUCAAGUGUUCUGGAGCCAUCACCUAUGUCACCAACUAUGUCAACAUGUACUCCAGUUUCUGAGUGUUUUGAAUCGAUUGUGCCAAAAUCAGAUAAUCAGAUAGAUUGUGGUCCAUUGCCAUCACCUCCAUCCCCAUUUAGCUUGACAUUAUCUCAAGAACAUCGGUCGAGCUGUACAAUGGCGCCUGCAGCAGUUACACCAGAGGUAUUUAUCCCCUUGAUGAAAGCUAAUCACUGGAUGUAAUCCCCUGUUUUAGUUGUUGUUUCUGUCAUGGUUAUACAGGCAGUUUUCAACAGCAGCAGACUAGCAUGCCCAGUCUGAACUUUUAGAAUGUUUUCCCAGUUCAUGUUCAACAUUGAUCCUUUUUCCAGCUAAAGUUCCAACCAACUUUCCUGUGUGAAUCUGAGAAUCUCACUGAAACUUGUGUUUUAUUGUGUAUAUUCAGCCUAUUGAGUCGGGUUUCAGACUGAUCAUAAACAGACCUCGGUUUAAGCUGUGAUGCUAAUUUGAUCUGUGUGCUGCACC